rnacentral:rRNA from 1 species
UACGUAGGGUGCGAGCGUUAAUCGGAAUUACUGGGCGUAAAGCGUGCGCAGGCGGUUCGUCGUGUCUGAUGUGAAAGCCCCGGGCUCAACCUGGGAAUGGCAUUGGAAACUGGCGGACUAGAGUGUGGCAGAGGGGGGUGGAAUUCCGCGUGUAGCAGUGAAAUGCGUAGAGAUGCGGAGGAACACCGAUGGCGAAGGCAGCCCCCCUGGGCUAACACUGACGCUCAGGCACGAAAGCGUGGGGAGCAAACGGGG